rnacentral:rRNA from 1 species
CCCUACGGGAGGCAGCAGUGAGGAAUAUUGGUCAAUGGGCGCGAGCCUGAACCAGCCAAGUCGCGUGAGGGAAGACGGUCCUAUGGAUAGUAAACCUCUUUUGUCGGGGAGCAAAAGACGCCACGCGUGGCGUUCCGAGAGUACCCGGAGAAAAAGCAUCGGCUAACUCCGUGCCAGCAGCCGCGGUAAUACGGAGGAUGCGAGCGUUAUCCGGAUUUAUUGGGUUUAAAGGGUGCGCAGGCGGAAGAUCAAGUCAGCGGUAAAAUUGAGAGGCUCAACCUCUUCGAGCCGUUGAAACUGGUUUU